AGAGUUUGAUCCUGGCUCAGGACAAACGCUGGCGGAAUGUAUUAGGCAUGCAAGUCGCACGAUCACUUCGGUGAUAGUGGCGGACGGGUGAGUAACACGUGGGUAACCUGCCUCGUAGUGGGGAAUAACUCGCCGAAAGGCGAGCUAAUACCGCAUAACACUCUCGGUGAGAAUCCGAGAAGUAAAAGCUCCGGCGCUACGAGAGGGGCCCGCGGCCGAUUAGCUUGUUGGUGGGGUAACGGCCUACCAAGGCGACGAUCGGUAGCUGGUCUGAGAGGAUGGUCAGCCACACGGGGACUGAGAUACGGCCCCGACUCCUACGGGAGGCAGCAGCUAAGAAUCUUGCGCAAUGGGCGAAAGCCUGACGCAGCAAUUCCGCGUGGAGGACGAAGGCCCUCGGGUCGUAAACUCCUUUUGCGAGGGAAGAAGUUCUGACGGUACCUCGCGAAUAAGCCACGGCUAACUACGUGCCAGCAGCCGCGGUAAUACGUAGGUGGCGAGCGUUGUCCGGAUUUAUUGGGCGUAAAGCGCCCGCAGGCGGCCUGCUAAGUUUCAGGUGAAAUCUCCCGGCUUAACCGGGAUGGGUCCUGGAAAACUGACAGGCUUGAGGCAGAGAGAGGGAUGUGGAAUUCCCGGUGUAGUAGUGAAAUGCGUAGAUAUCGGGAGGAACACCAGUGGCGAAGGCGGCAUCCUGGCUCUGUCCUGACGCUCAGGGGCGAAAGCGUGGGGAGCAAACCGGAUUAGAUACCCGGGUAGUCCACGCCGUAAACGAUGAGUACUAGGUGUAGGGGGUAUCGACCCCCUCUGUGCCGAAGCAAACGCGAUAAGUACUCCGCCUGGGGACUACGGCCGCAAGGCUAAAACUCAAAGGAAUUGACGG
rnacentral:rRNA from 1 species